CGGGGGGCAGCAGUGGGGAAUUUUGGACAAUGGGCGCAAGCCUGAUCCAGCCAUGCCGCGUGUGUGAAGAAGGCCUUCGGGUUGUAAAGCACUUUCGGCCGGGACGAAAUCGCUCGGGUUAACACCCAGGGUGGAUGACGGUACCGGAAUAAGAAGCACCGGCUAACUACGUGCCAGCAGCCGCGGUAAUACGUAGGGUGCAAGCGUUAAUCGGAAUUACUGGGCGUAAAGCGUGCGCAGGCGGUUUUGUAAGCCAGACGUGAAAUCCCCGGGCUUAACCUGGGAACUGCGUUUGGAACUGCAAGGCUAGAGUGCGGCAGAGGAAGGUGGAAUUCCUGGUGUAGCAGUGAAAUGCGUAGAUAUCAGGAGGAACACCAAUGGCGAAGGCAGCCUUCUGGGCUAGCACUGACGCUCAUGCACGAAAGCGUGGGGAGCAAACAGGAUUAGAUACCCCAGU
rnacentral:rRNA from 1 species